CCUACGGGAGGCAGCAGUGAGGAAUAUUGGUCAAUGGGCGAGAGCCUGAACCAGCCAAGUCGCGUGAGGGAGUACUGCCCUAUGGGUUGUAAACCUCUUUUGUCGGGGAGCAAAAGCCGGACGUGUCCGGCUGUGAGAGUACCCGAAGAAAAAGCAUCGGCUAACUCCGUGCCAGCAGCCGCGGUAAUACGGAGGAUGCGAGCGUUAUCCGGAUUUAUUGGGUUUAAAGGGUGCGUAGGCUGUGAGGUAAGUCAGCGGUGAAAUGCCCCCGCUCAACGGGGUGAAGUGCCAUUGAUACUGCCUUGCUGGAAUGCGGAUGCCGUGGGAGGAAUGUGUGGUGUAGCGGUGAAAUGCAUAGAUAUCACACAGAACACCGAUUGCGAAGGCAUCUCACGAAUCCGCGAUUGACGCUGAUGCACGAAAGCGUGGGUAUCAAACAGGAUUAGAUACCCGAGUAGUC
rnacentral:rRNA from 1 species